rnacentral:rRNA from 1 species
AGUGAACGCUGGCGGUAGGCCUAACACAUGCAAGUCGAACGGCAGCACAGUAAGAGCUUGCUCUUACGGGUGGCGAGUGGCGGACGGGUGAGGAAUACAUCGGAAUCUACUUUUUCGUGGGGGAUAACGUAGGGAAACUUACGCUAAUACCGCAUACGACCUACGGGUGAAAGCAGGGGAUCUUCGGACCUUGCGCGAUUGAAUGAGCCGAUGUCGGAUUAGCUAGUUGGCGGGGUAAAGGCCCACCAAGGCGACGAUCCGUAGCUGGUCUGAGAGGAUGAUCAGCCACACUGGAACUGAGACACGGUCCAGACUCCUACGGGAGGUAGCAGUGGGGAAUAUUGGACAAAGGGCGCAAGCCUGAUCCAGCCAUACCGCGUGGGUGAAGAAGGCCUUCGGGUUGUAAAGCCCUUUUGUUGGGAAAGAAGAGCAGCAGGUUAAUACCCCGCUGUUCUGACGGUACCCAAAGAAUAAGCACCGGCUAACUUCGUG